rnacentral:rRNA from 1 species
GACGAACGCUGGCGGCGUGCUUAACACAUGCAAGUCGAACGGAAAGGCCCUGCUUUUGUGGGGUGCUCGAGUGGCGAACGGGUGAGUAACACGUGAGUAACCUGCCCUUGAAUUUGGGAUAACUUCAGGAAACUGGGGCUAAUACCGGAUAGGAGCUCCUGCUGCAUGGUGGGGGUUGGAAAGUUUCGGCGGUUGGGGAUGGACUCGCGGCUUAUCAGCUUGUUGGUGGGGUAGUGGCUUACCAAGGCUUCGACGGGUAGCCGGCCUGGGAGGGGGACCGGCCACAUGGCGACUGAGAGACGGCCCAGACUCCAACGGGAGGCAGCAGGGGGGAAUAUUGCAGAGUGGGCGGAAGCCUGAUGCAGCGACGCCGCGUGCGGGAUGACGUGCUUCGGGUGGUAAACCGCUUUGGACUGAGACGAAGCGUGAGUGACGGUAAUGGGUAAAGAAGCACCGGCUAACUACGUG